CUUGAUCUCGGAAAUUUCUUGUGUUAGAAGGGUGAGUGCCUCAAGUAUAGAAGAGGAAGUAUCAGUGAUACUGGCAGGAUUGUUGUUCGGCGGAGAGCGUGCCGACCGUUUCGUGGGCGAGGGUUUCCUGUUGGAGCUCGUACACGGUGGACAACUCCAUUGUUUGUGCAGCGAUUUAACCGAUGCAAUAUCAUCCUCAGAGAAAUCCACGCACCUUCCAUGUAGCAAGCCAUUGCAAGCAGAGCACCGCAUAGACUUUUUGUCAUCCCUGCUGACAGUUUUAUUGCAAAUACUGCAAAUGGCCAUGGCUGCAACACUGACUUUGUGUGAUGAGUCGGUUAGUGGUGCAAUUUAGGAAAGGACUAUUAUGACGAAAGCAAGGUAGUACUCACGACGUAACAAGUGCCAAUUAUCAGCCGUUGGUAAACACGUUAUCCCCACUAUCGCCUCAACGUUAUCACCAGUAUUGUUCAAGCCGGCCUGGUAACGAGAAUCCAGUCACGUGAAAACGCAGAAAUUAAGUCGGAUAUUUUGCCCGAAAACGAAGAAGAAUGGAAAAUCGAAGCUUAUCUACAGGAUUAAGAUGUUGCUCCACACAAGUAAGCCAAAAUUAAAAGCAAUUGACAAACCUUAGACCGGCAGGAAAAGCAGUUGAACCAGAGUCGAUGUGUCGCGUGUCGCUUCAAAGAAGGCUUUAUUCUAAGGAUAGAUGGAAAAUAAGCAAUUACACCCAA